GAUGAAGAACGUAGCGAAAUGCGAUAAGUAAUGUGAAUUGCAGAAUUCAGUGAAUCAUCGAAUCUUUGAACGCACAUUGCGCCCGUCAGUAUUCUGGCGGGCAUGCCUGUUCGAGCGUCAUUACGCCCCUCAAGUCCCCUGUGAACUUGGUGUUGGGGAUCGGCGAGGCUGGUUUUCCAGCACAGCCGUCCCUUAAAUUAAUUGGCGGUCUCGCCGUGGCCCUCCUCUGCGCAGUAGUAAAACACUCGCAACAGGAGCCCGGCGCGGUCCACUGCCGUAAAACCCCCCAACUUUUUAUAGUUGACCUCGAAUCAGGUAGGACUACCCGCUGAACUUAAGCAUAUCAAUAAGCGGAGGA
rnacentral:misc_RNA from 1 species